rnacentral:rRNA from 1 species
GCCAGACUCCUACGGGAGGCAGCAGUGAGGAAUAUUGGUCAAUGGCCGAGAGGCUGAACCAGCCAAGUCGCGUGAGGGAUGACGGCCCUACGGGUUGUAAACCUCUUUUGCCGGGGAGCAAAGAGCGGGACGCGCCCCGCCUCGAGAGUACCCGGAGAAAAAGCAUCGGCUAACUCCGUGCCAGCAGCCGCGGUAAUACGGAGGAUGCGAGCGUUAUCCGGAUUUAUUGGGUUUAAAGGGUGCGUAGGCGGAAUGCCAAGUCAGCGGUAAAAUCGCGGGGCUCAACCUCGCUCCGCCGUUGAAACUGGCGUUCUUGAGUGGGCGAGAAGUAUGCGGAAUGCGUGGUGUAGCGGUGAAAUGCAUAGAUAUCACGCAGAACUCCGAUUGCGAAGGCAGCAUACCGGCGCCCAACUGACGCUGAAGCACGAAAGCGUGGGUAUCGAACAGGAUUAGAUACCCCGGUAA